CACGUAGGGCGCGAGCGUUGUCCGGAAUUAUUGGGCGUAAAGAGCUCGUAGGCGGCCUGUUGCGUCCGCUGUGAAAGCCCGGGGCUUACCCCGGGUCUGCAGUGGAUACGGGCAGGCUAGAGGUAGGUAGGGGAGAAUGGAAUUCCCGGUGUAGCGGUGAAAUGCGCAGAUAUCGGGAGGAACACCGGUGGCGAAGGCGGUUCUCUGGGCCUUACCUGACGCUGAGGAGCGAAAGCGUGGGGAGCGAACAGG
rnacentral:rRNA from 1 species